UUAACUGCACAAUUACUUGAAAUGUGUGGAUGGGAUUACAUUAUUUGUUAACCCAAAGUGAGUUUCUCUUUCUUUGCAGUAUUGGAUGCCUGAUUGCAGUUCAACUCUAAACUCAGUUUGGACCAGCUGAUCAGUGUCUUCAGUAGUACCACAAGCUACUGGGCAGAUGUGUGGACAGCUAUGAGCCAAAUUUAGGACGUUUGGUUUUUAGCAGGUGGAGAGACCGUCUGGGCAGCAGAAACAAGACAACUAAUCAUAUUUAGAUACAAUCAAAUGUCCAAACCAUCUCUGAGUGAAUGACAUCAAGGAAACAGGAUCAAAAGAUCUUUCAUUAUAGACCGUUUCAUAGGUCCUCCUGAUCAUUCUGUUCUCUUGGUUGUGAGGAUGUGCAGAGGCUGUAUUUGUCCGUGUUAAAAGACUUGUGCAGCUGUAUCCAGACAUACAAGCAGCCGACAAAGAGUUCUGGAGCAGGACAGCCAGAUUGGUGUACGCUGAUGGUCUGCUGAGAAUUCUGCUGCGUUGAAGGGAUCCUCCUGUCAGACAACCUCCAAAGUACAAUAGGACUGGGUUCCCACUACAAGGAUUAGAUUUGGCUACUGCAGUCCCGGUUUGGGCCAGCCUCACUUGUGAAGACUAAAGUUGAAGACAACAUACAAGAACAAUUUAGAGGAUGGCAACACACUUUUUAUUCCACCUAUUUAUCCCCUUUUAUGUG